UACAGAGGGUGCGAGCGUUGUUCGGAAUUAUUGGGCGUAAAGGGCGCGUAGGCGGCGCCACAAGUCACUUGUGAAAACUCUGGGCUCAACUCAGAGCCUGCAAGCGAAACUGUGGUGCUGGAGUAUGGGAGAGGUGCGUGGAAUUCCCGGUGUAGCGGUGAAAUGCGUAGAUAUCGAGAGGAACACCAGUGGCGAAGGCGAGUCCCUGGACAACUCCUGACACUGAGGCACGAAAGCUAGGGGAGCAAACAGG
rnacentral:rRNA from 1 species